UGUAGUUUUUUUAAUAUUAACGGAUGCUGUCUUCUACAUAUUAAGUAUAAAAUCAGCUCCGUAUGUAUCAAGGAAUAACGUUGACGUUCACAGCUUGAAUCCACAGCAUCGACAAAAGCGUGACUAUGCUCCAGCCUAUGAUUAUCCCGAUACAGGAGACCAUUACAACCAAUAUCAUGUAUCUGAUUACUAUUACCAGCAUCCCACAAGUCAUUAUAACCAAUACUCUGGUCACGGGACAAGUGUCUUAGCACCCAUCGGAAUAGUGGGUGGAGCUGCCUUAAAAGCGGUUAAAGUUAAGAAAGUAGUGAAAGGUCUCAAGUAUCUCUCUAUUCCACUAGGAUUGGCAACGAUAGGAGGAAUUGCUGCUUUAGCAAGUGGAGCAAUACCACCAGCCCUUGUUGGAGGCAUUAAUUUACCCUUCCAGGGUUGAGGAGUAUUUUCAAGAGAAGAAUCCGUCUCUGAGAGUUAAUAUGUCUUUAAUUCAAAAUACUAAAUUAGUAUGAAGCAUUCUUAGAAGAGAUGAAACUCGCUAUGAUAUUUUAAUGUAUCAAAUUGAUAUCUUGUAACUGUCUUAUAGUGAAAUGUCGUAGUCAGGAGAAGGAUUUUUAAGUUGCCUGCUUUAUUUAUUAUGAGUAUGUUUUCAUCAUUGUAUCGAUUGCAUUUUAUUUUAUAAUUAGGUUAGAAAAUGUUUCGAGUAUCAAGUAUAUUUUGAAAAAAAAAUGCGAAUUUUUUUUAACAAUCUUACUGAGAACAUUGCUCUUAAAAACAAUCUAUAUUUUAUUUAUAAAUUUUAUAAUUUCAAAACUGUGUAUCUCUACUGAAAACUGGAACAACUAUGCCUUUAUGAGGUAAUCAUAUUCGCACUUUUUAAUAUUGUUUUUGUUUUUCAUUUGCAUUUAUUUUGAAUUUUCUUAACUAAAAAAAUUUAAUGAAAUUGUAGUCUUAAAACAUACAUUAGUUUCAAUUUGCAUCUCAAAUAAUUCAAACCAUCCAUUGUAUAUUAAGUUAUACGUAAUAUUUCAUGUUGUAUAUUUCAUUAAGUAAUAAUUGUUACAAUAAAUUUUUCGGUUUUCUUUAUACGUAUUAUUCAGGUACUAUUAAAUAUAUUUUAACUAUGAA